rnacentral:rRNA from 1 species
UGUAAGCGUAUACCAAAGCUGUUGCAGUUAAAACGCUCGUAGUCGGAAUUUGGCAGUUCCGGAUGUGUGCACGUCGUGUGCGCACUUCGCGGGGAUUGCUUUUGUGGUCUUGCGUAGGAUGAGGCACUUUUAUUAGUGAACGUCCUCACGCAACCACUUUUUACUGUGAGAAAAUCAGAGUGCUCAAAGCAGGCAUUUGCCGUGAAUGUAUUAGCAUGGAAUAAUAGAAUAGGACAUGGUUCUAUUUUGUUGGUUUGUUGGGACUGAGUAAUGAUUAAGAGGGACAGUUGGGGGCAUUCGUAUUUCGGUGCUAGAGGUGAAAUUCUUAGAUUACCGAAAGACAAACUGCUGCGAAAGCGUCUGCCAAGGAUGUUUUCAUUGA